rnacentral:rRNA from 1 species
CCUACGGGAGGCAGCAGUGGGGAAUAUUGGGCAAUUGGCGCAAGCCUGACCCAGCAACGCCGCGUGAAGGAAGAAGGCUUUCGGGUUGUAAACUUCUUUUAAGGGGGAAGAGCAGAAGACGGUACCCCUUGAAUAAGCCACGGCUAACUACGUGCCAGCAGCCGCGGUAAUACGUAGGUGGCAAGCGUUGUCCGGAUUUACUGGGUGUAAAGGGCGUGCAGCCGGAGAGACAAGUCAGAUGUGAAAUCCACGGGCGCAACCCGUGAACUGCAUUUGAAACUGUUUCCCUUGAGUGUCGGAGAGGUAAUCGGAAUUCCUUGUGUAGCGGUGAAAUGCGUAGAUAUAAGGAAGAACACCAGUGGCGAAGGCGGAUUACUGGACGAUAACUGACGGUGAGGCGCGAAAGCGUGGGGAGCAAACAGGAUUAGAUACCCCAGUAGUC